GAUGAACGCUAGCGGCAGGCCUAACACAUGCAGGUCGAGGGGGAGGUUACUUUCGGGUAACUGAGACCGGCGUACGGGUGCGUAACGCGUAUACAAUCUGCCUUUCACUGGGGGAUAGCCCGAAGAAAUUUGGAUUAAUACCCCAUAGUAUAGUAAUACGGCAUCGUGAUGCUCUUAAAGCUUAGGUGGUGAAAGAUGAGUAUGCGUUCUAUUAGCUAGUUGGAGAGGUAACGGCUCCCCAAGGCGAUGAUAGAUAGGGGUUCUGAGAGGGAUGUCCCCCACACUGGUACUGAGAUACGGACCAGACUCCUACGGGAGGCAGCAGUGAGGAAUAUUGGACAAUGGUCGGAAGACUGAUCCAGCCAUGCCGCGUGCAGGAUGAAGGUCUUAUGGAUUGUAAACUGCUUUUGUAAGGGAAGAAUAAGGGCUACGCGUAGUUUGAUGACGGUACCUUACGAAUAAGCAUCGGCUAACUCCGUG
rnacentral:rRNA from 1 species